UCCCGGGUCUCCAGGAUCGCGCCCCGGGCCAAAGGCAGGCGCUAAACCGCUGCGCCACCCAGGGAUCCCACAUUACAAUUUCUUGUAAUUUUUUUUAAGGCCAUCAUUCAGAGCUCAAAAUCUGCAUUCAUAGGGAAGAUAUUAGGAGGAGUGCUUAGGUCACCAGAGGCCACGGAGGCCAAACAUUGUAUAACUUGGAACAUUAAAAAAAAAAAAAAAAAAGAAAGUACUUUUAUCAUGCAUGUUGUUCUGUAUAUUAUGGAUGAUGUUUAAAUAUGGCAAUAGCAUAUAACAUUUAAAAAUAGAGUUUGCCUAUGUUUUAAUAUACUAUGCUGAUAUUUAAGCAAAAUAUUACUAACAAAAAAGGGCCCCCAAAAGUCUCAUUCAAUUUUUGUUUUAUACUUAAAUUGAAUACUGAUUCCUGCUUAAUGAUUUAAUUUGAGCAAGUAAAAAAAUAUGUUUGAGUAAUUUUGGAUAGGUGCCAAAGGAGAUUAGGGCUCUUUCAAAGAAUUUAGGUAGAUUGCAAUUAUUUUCAUUACAUAUGAUUUCAUUUCAAACUGGAUUAUUUUUUUUCUUUUCCUGUGAAGGUAUCCUUCCACACUGAUAGGACAAGUAGGAUGGCAGGAGGGUUUGAACAGGUUGUGCAUGUCCAAGAUCUAUCAAAAUGGAAGUGCAUGAGGUGUAUUGUCAAGUGUGAGGCAUUAAAGAGGAGAGAUGAGCAUGGGGAGAGAUUUUUAAGAAGAAAUUUGCUUGAAUUAGGCCCAGUGGCCAAGCUGUGUUGGCUUGGAUCACUUGUUUUCCAGAGUCUGGAUUAUUGGCCAAAGGUCUGCAGGUGAGACUGGAGCUAGGCGAGGAGAGGGCAUGAGCUCCCACAACUCUGCAAGCAAGGCUCUCAGCAAGGACCCGGUGUUUCUAACUCAGGGGAGGGGCUGCUUUCUCUUUAGUUAUAGAGGAUUGACAGAUUAUAUAAAAAGGCAAUUCCUGUUGAAUUCAGGUACCAGUACAAAGAAAGUACCAGUUUCUGAUAAUCAGCCUCAAUUGAUAUUGAGUGCACAGGUGGGCCUAUUUUUCUUUUCUUUUUUUUAAUGAUUUAUUACUGUCAGAGAACAGUAAUAAACCAUUCUAAUGUAUUUCCUUUAAAGAGUGGAGCUACUGCUGGUUUGUUUUUAAAACAAAUAGUUAAUUCAAAACUAACAGAAUUCUCCUUUUUUAAAAAAAGAUGGUAGUUGCUUAUUUACUUCAUUUCAAAGGUUUUUUUUUUUUUUAAUUCAGUCUCCCUAGCAACAGAGACAUCUGUCUCUAUUCUCUUAGUCAUUAAAGCCAAAGAAAGUAGCUGCUUCAAAAAUAAUAAAGGCAAUUUCUAUGAAUUGGGUAACUGUUAAUUGUUGCCAAGAAAUCUUAGUGAGAUAAUGAGGCAUACAGCAAUUGACAAAGAUCUUUUCAUUGAUGUAUGAGCUUCCAGCUAGCCCAUGGUGGUUAGCUAAUAUAUACGGUACCAUCGAUGAGGUAUUGUGUGAUUCACUAUGUAACACACAUAGAGAAGUGAUCUUUACUCUUUCUGAUUUCUUUCAGAAGUAUGCCUUGCUGUGAUUUUCCUGAUUGCUUAGUAACUAAUCAUAACUAGGGAUUCCAGGGAAUAUAUUUGCCCAUUACAUUUCAUGAAAGUAGAAAGGUUUGAAGCAUUCACAAUGGAGAUCAAUGCGGCAAAUAGUAUAGUAGUUGGUUGUGGUGUUAAAACACAAUAUACUUUUUAUUUGAGUUGUAGAUUCUGCAAAACCAUUUGAGUAAAAAUACUUAAAAUUGCACUCGAUUCUAAAAUGUAUAUUGGCAUUUGUGCUAAAACUGUUUGCAAGCCCCUUAUAAUGAAACCCCAAUCACCCUCUACAAUAGCUUCACUAAUAAACACAAAACAGUUUGUCAACGCUUUCUGCUUUCCCAGCAGCCAAGGAAGCAAAUUAUAUUAAGUCAGUAUUUUUUAUUAUUGGCCCUAUGUUUGGCACAUGCCUGGCUGUAUGUGAAACUACUGUUAAAUGGGUAAUAACAGAAGGAGAAACCAAGCAUAUAAAAACAGCUUUUUGUGAUUUUUUUAAAUCAGGAAAUAUGCCUUCAAUAACCAGAUGUGGAAUAGCUCAUCGUGUUAUUGGCCCCAUAAGCCUAUUUUGGUUUCUUAAAGUAGGGGGAGGUUAUGAAUGCAAAGUGUAAAAAAUGCUGAAUCUUGUUCCAAAAUUAGAAUGUUUAUAAAAUUUAUAUAUGCAAUGGAUAACUAUCAAGAAAAUAUAAUGGGUAUUAAAUGAAUAUCAAUUUUGGUGGAAACUUGAAUAAGAGUUUUGCUUCUAUUGGAGCAUGUUGUGGUAUGCUUAUAGUACAGAUAAGAAACAGAGGAACUAAAACAUGUUCUUAACCUCACAGUGACAUUUGUUUCAUGUCAAACUGUACAUAUAUAUAGUUUGGUGCAUUAUACAAGUAAUUAAGGCAUUGCUGGUUGGAAAUUGGGUAAGAUCUUGGAAUAAAAAUGUAGACAUAGUUAAGGAAAUCUGUUUAGUUUAGGGAUAUUUUUAUCAUUUCUGAAGUAUUUUCUUUAUAAAUCCUCUAAAUACAGAUAUUUCUAGUAAAUGCUUAUGAAUAUAAAUGAAUAAAAGACAUUAUCUUUUAUAAAUUACAGUAUUCGUCUGCAUAAUUUUGCACUGUUACGGUGACAAACUGUUAAUUUCCUUUCAAGAUGCCUUUAAUAUAAUGAAAGUAGAAAGAAUUUUUCUAACAACCAAGUAGAAAUAGACUUGACUAGCUGUUGGUGACUUUUUAUCAAAAGUUUAAAAAAUUCAGUGUAAAGAAAAUCUUGGCACUUGAUGUAGCAUUUAUAACAUACUCUGGAGGAUCUCAAAGUUAUAGUACUGGCUUUGUUGAUCAAGUUGUACCAUAUUGUCUAUCAGCAUGUCACUUAACAGCAGGUGGAGGCCUUGAAAUGAAUAUUUGCCUCACAGAAUGUCCAUAUAUAGGAUUAUCUCUUUCUCCAGAUAAGAGAUUAGGAAACUGUGGCCUGUGGACCAAAUCUGAACCACUGUCUGUUUUUAAACAGUCUAUGAACUAAGAAUUAUUUUUACAUUUUUCAAUGAUUGGGGGAAAAAAAA
rnacentral:lncRNA from 1 species